rnacentral:rRNA from 1 species
UGGGGAAUUUUGGACAAUGGGCGAAAGCCUGGUCCAGCAAUGCCGCGUGUGUGAAGAAGGCCUUCGGGUUGUAAAGCACUUUUGUCCGGAAAGAAAUCCUUGGCUCUAAUACAGUCGGGGGAUGACGGUACCGGAAGAAUAAGCACCGGCUAACUACGUGCCAGCAGCCGCGGUAAUACGUAGGGUGCAAGCGUUAAUCGGAAUUACUGGGCGUAAAGCGUGCGCAGGCGGUUUGCUAAGACCGAUGUGAAAUCCCCGGGCUCAACCUGGGAACUGCAUUGGUGACUGGCAGGCUAGAGUAUGGCAGAGGGGGGUAGAAUUCCACGUGUAGCAGUGAAAUGCGUAGGAGAUGUGGAGGAAUACCGAUGGCGAAGGCAGCCCCCUGGGCCAAAUACUGACGCUCAUGCACGAAAAGCGUGGGGGAGCAAACAGGAUUAGAUACCCUGGUAGUCCACGCCCUAAAACGAUGUCAACUAGUUGUUGGGGAUUCAUUUCCUUAGUAACGUACUAACGCGUGAAGUUGACCGCCUGGGGAGUACGGUCGC